rnacentral:rRNA from 1 species
UAGGGAAUCUUCCGCAAUGGGCGAAAGCCUGACGGAGCAACGCCGCGUGAGUGAUGAAGGUCUUCGGAUCGUAAAACUCUGUUAUUAGGGAAGAACAUAUGUGUAAGUAACUGUGCACAUCUUGACGGUACCUAAUCAGAAAGCCACGGCUAACUACGUGUCAGCAGCCGCGGUAAUACGUAGGUGGCAAGCGUUAUCCGGAAUUAUUGGGCGUAAAGCGCGCGUAGGCGGUUUUUUAAGUCUGAUGUGAAAGCCCACGGCUCAACCGUGGAGGGUCAUUGGAAACUGGAAAACUUGAGUGCAGAAGAGGAAAGUGGAAUUCCAUGUGUAGCGGUGAAAUGCGCAGGGAUAUGGAGGAACACCAGUGGCGAAGGCGACUUUCUGGUCUGUAACUGACGCUGAUGUGCGAAAGCGUGGGGAUCAAACAGGAUUAGAUACCCUGGCAGUCCACGCCGUAAACGAUGAGUGCUAAGUGUUAGGGGGUUUCCGCCCCUUAGUGCUGCAGCUAACGCAUUAAGCACUCCGCCUGGGGAGUACGACCGCAAGGUUG